rnacentral:rRNA from 1 species
GUAGGUGGCAAGCGUUGUCCGGAUUUACUGGGUGUAAAGGGCGUGUAGCCGGGCUGACAAGUCAGAUGUGAAAUCCGGGGGCUCAACCCCCGAACUGCAUUUGAAACUGUUGGUCUUGAGUAUCGGAGAGGCAGGCGGAAUUCCUAGUGUAGCGGUGAAAUGCGUAGAUAUUAGGAGGAACACCAGUGGCGAAGGCGGCCUGCUGGACGACAACUGACGGUGAGGCGCGAAAGCGUGGGGAGCAAAC